rnacentral:rRNA from 1 species
UACGUAGGUGGCAAGCGUUGUCCGGAUUUACUGGGUGUAAAGGGCGUGCAGCCGGGCUGACAAGUCAGAUGUGAAAUCCCGCGGCUCAACCGCGGAACUGCAUUUGAAACUGUCAGUCUUGAGUACCGGAGAGGUCAUCGGAAUUCCUUGCGUAGCGGUGAAAUGCGUAGAUAUAAGGAAGAACACCAGUGGCGAAGGCGGAUGACUGGACGGCAACUGACGGUGAGGCGCGAAAGCGUGGGGAGCAAACAGG